UACGAAGGGUGCAAACGUUGCUCGGAAUUAUUGGGCGUAAAGCGCACGUAGGCGGCAUUGCAAGUCGGAUGUGAAAUCCCUCGGCUCAACCAAGGAAGUGCAUCCGAAACUGCUGUGCUUGAGUACUUAAGAGGAUCGCGGAAUUCCCGGUGUAGAGGUGAAAUUCGUAGAUAUCGGGAGGAACACCAGUGGCGAAGGCGACUACCUGGCCUGUUCUUGACGCUGAGGCGCGAAAGCUAGGGGAGCAAACGGG
rnacentral:rRNA from 1 species